ACAACAGAGAACUCGGGUAUCUGAGUGGAUGAGUAGUGUUAAGCUAACAAGAAAUCACCCCAAAUAUUUCAAAUCAGCAUCGAAAUAAAAUAGUUUUCAAUAGCAGCAACCAAAGUAGGCCCUAAAAGUUGAGCCCCCAGCCAGCAGUUCCAAUAUUGCUCAUUCAAUUUUUCGGACUAGUCCAGUAAACAUCUGAGUCUAUUUGUUUGUACCCAUUGUAAAAUUUUAGAAAAUCGUUAUAGUCCGUAUCGUAACUGCAAAUAUCUAUUACGACUGCAAAGGUUUUCGAAAGUUUUGAGUCGGAACUGAAGUCUUUUGAAACCCGAACUGCAGUCGUAAUUUGCAAACCAAUUAGUGCCUAUUUCUGUGAGGAGGUUCUACUAAACAUAUUAUAAAAAUGUGUUGCGGACCUUGCGGAGGCUGCUGUGGACCCUGCGGUCCUUGUUGCGGACCUUGUGGUGGCUGCUGCGGUCCCUGCGGACCUUGCUGUGGGCCCUGUGGACCUUGCUGUGGUCCAUGCUUCUCCUGCUGUGGCCCCUGUGGCGGCUGCUGCGGUGGCUGCGGUCCGUGCUGCUAAAAGGGAAUCAUCUUCAGAACGAAAUCUAGGUGCUCAUCAUAUAUGUGUAUAAAUAAAUAGCUAAAUUCAAUUGUGA